UGGGGAUUAUUGCACAAUGGGCGCAAGCCUGAUGCAGCCAUGCCGCGUGUGUGAAGAAGGCCUUCGGGUUGUAAAGCACUUUCAGCGGGGAGGAAGGCGAUAAGGUUAAUAACCUUGUCGAUUGACGUUACCCGCAGAAGAAGCACCGGCUAACUCCGUGCCAGCAGCCGCGGUAAUACGGAGGGUGCAAGCGUUAAUCGGAAUUACUGGGCGUACAGCGCACGCAGGCGGUCUGUCAAGUCGGAUGUGAAAUCCCCGGGCUCAACCUGGGAACUGCAUUCGAAACUGGCAGGCUAGAGUCUUGUAGAGAGGGGUAGAAUUCAAGGUGUAGCGGGGAAAUGCGUGGGGAGCUGGGGGAAUGCCGGUGGCGGAGGCGGCCCCCUGGACAAAGACUGACGCUCAGGUGGGAAAGCAUGGGGAGCAAACAGA
rnacentral:rRNA from 1 species